GGUUGGGUAGUUUAGUGGUAGAACACCGGCAUAUGCCAUGCAUGGUAUGCUGGAGACCCAUGGGUCCUGGCCAGGUUCGAAUCCUGGUCCAACCG